rnacentral:rRNA from 1 species
UACGUAGGGGGCAAGCGUUGUCCGGAUUUAUUGGGCGUAAAGAGCUCGUAGGCGGUUUCGUAAGUCGGGUGUGAAAACUCUAGGCUCAACCUAGAGACGCCACCCGAUACUGCGAUGACUAGAGUCCGGUAGGGGAGUGUGGAAUUCCUGGUGUAGCGGUGAAAUGCGCAGAUAUCAGGAGGAACACCAACGGCGAAGGCAGCACUCUGGGCCGGAACUGACGCUGAGGAGCGAAAGCGUGGGGAGCAAACAGG